UGACUUAAGCCCAUAUAUUAUUAGCAGAAUCCAUGUCUUUUAUGCACAUACACAUUAUAAACACAACACAUAUAGGUCUUCAAGUUUUACAUAACUGGCAAAACUAUAAAAAAAAAAGUCGAGCAUUCAGAAGCUUUAAGAAAAUGGAUACAAAUCAAACCAAGAAGGAAAUGGCUUGGACUCCUCAUCGAAAUAAUCUUGCUUAGCGGCCCAUGGUUUGCUCGUUAGGGGGGAUCAUAACGAGCACUUGUUGGGCCUUAAAGCCAGGAUGAGGAAGCCUGCGACGAAGCUCACGACCUUCUUGGCAAAGAGCACAAGGGUGGCAGAAGAAAUGAGUUGCAAAGUCACAAACUGACUCACAUUGCUCGCGUUGCACCUCGUCCUCAAUAAAGCUCCCGCAGCACCCACUAGACCUGUUGAAGGCCUCACAGCUCCCCUCAAGAUUGAACUUCCGGCGGAUAGCUGUACGACUGGGAUAUGUAAAGCAAGGUGCCACACAGUUCGAGCCAAAGAAGGAUUGUCCAAUUAGGAAGAGGCCAGUGUAAGGCAAGCAGUGAUUG
rnacentral:misc_RNA from 1 species